AUACGGAGGAUCCGAGCGUUAUCCGGAUUUAUUGGGUUUAAAGGGUGCGCAGGCGGCCAUUUAAGUCAGCGGUUAAAUCGUGGGGCUCAACCCCAUUCUGCCGUUGAUACUGGGUGGCUUGAUUGCGGUCGAGGUUGGCGGAAUUCGUUGUGUAGCGGUGAAAUGCAUAGACAUGACGAAGAACACCGAUUGCGUAGGCAGCUGACCAGACCGCAAAUGACGCUCAUGCACGAAAGUGCGGGGAUCGAACAGGAUUAGAUACCCUGGUAGUCCGCACAGUAAACGAUGAAUACUUGUUUUCGGCGAUAUAAUGUCGGAGGCAAAGCGAAAGCGAUAAGUAUUCCACCUGGGGAGUACGCCGGCAACGGUGAAACUCAAAUGAAUUGACGGGG
rnacentral:rRNA from 1 species